UACGGAGGGUGCGAGCGUUGUCCGGAUUUAUUGGGUUUAAAGGGUGCGUAGGCGGCCGAUUAAGUCUGGGGUGAAAGCCCGCUGCUCAACAGCGGAACUGCCCUGGAUACUGGUUGGCUUGAGUACAGACGAGGUUGGCGGAAUGGACAGAGUAGCGGUGAAAUGCAUAGAUACUGUCCAGAACCCCGAUUGCGAAGGCAGCUGACUAGGCUGAUACUGACGCUGAGGCACGAAAGCGUGGGGAGCGAACAGGAUUAGAUACCCCCGUAGUCC
rnacentral:rRNA from 1 species